GGGGAUCAGAGUCUACUUCUGCUUCAGGUGGAACGACAAGGCUGUAGAGCUGAGAUGAGAAACUGUAAACUUGCUCAGCCAAAGGAGGCUAAUAAUGAAGGGGCCAGGGAAGGAGGCCAAUGCUACAGGGUUAUCUCCUAACCUCAGAUGUUGGAUAAGUCCACGGAAACAGCAGCGCUUCUGGAUGGCUUCAGAAAGGCUGGAGUGAUUGUUUGGAAGAGAAAAACCCGCCUAUUCAUUCAAAGAUGUUAGUCUAUCUAGAACAACAAAUUUGGAUCUAAGCUGGACCUUUGAGAAAGAAAAGACUUCGAGGAAAAACACCUUUCCAUAUGUUUUAAUUACCUUCCACCUGAAUUGUUUAAUGCACACUAUCCAACUAUAUUCAUCUUUCUUGCUUCCUGUGUAUUUCUUCUU
rnacentral:lncRNA from 1 species